CAUGCAAGUCGGACGGUAACAGGAGAGAAGCUUGCUUUUCUUGCUGACGAGUGGCGGACGGGUGAGUAACGCGUGGGAAUCUACCCUUUAGUUGGGGACAACAUAUGGAAACGUAUGCUAAUACCGAAUAUGCUCUACGGAGUAAAGGUGCCCUCUCCUUGGAAGGUAUCGCUAAAGGAUGAGCCCGCGUUAGAUUAGCUAGUUGGUAGGGUAAAGGCCUACCAAGGCGACGAUCUAUAGCUGGUUUGAGAGGAUGAUCAGCCACACUGGGACUGAGACACGGCCCAGACUCCUACGGGAGGCAGCAGUGGGGAAUAUUGCACAAUGAGGGAAACCUUGAUGCAGCCAUGCCGCGUGUGUGAAGAAGGCCCGAGGGUUGUAAAGCACUUUCAAUUGUGAGGAAGAUUAAGUAGCUAAUACCUGCUUAGUUUGACGUUAACUUUAGAAGAAGCACCGGCUAACUCUGUGCCAGCAGCCGCGGUAAUACAGAGGGUGCAAGCGUUAUUCGGAAUUACUGGGCGUAAAGCGCGCGUAGGCGGACUGUUAAGUCGGUUGUGAAAGCCCUGGGCUCAACCUAGGAACUGCAUCCGAUACUGGCAAUCUAGAGUUUAAGAGAGGGAAGUGGAAUUCCAGGUGUAGCAGUGAAAUGCGUAGAUAUCUGGAGGAACAUCAGUGGCGAAGGCGACUUCCUGGCUUAAAACUGACGCUGAGGUGCGAAAGCUUGGGUAGCGAACGGGAUUAGAUACCCCGGUAGUCCAAGCCGUAAACGAUGUCAACUAGCUGUUGGUCUUAUUAAAAAGAUUAGUAGCGCAGCUAACGCGAUAAGUUGACCGCCUGGGGAGUAC
rnacentral:rRNA from 1 species